UACGGGGGGGGCAAGCGUUGUUCGGAAUUACUGGGCGUAAAGAGCUCGUAGGCGGCCACUCAAGUCGAAUGUGAAACCUCGAGGCUUAACCUCGAGCCUGCAUUCGAUACUGGGUGGCUAGAGUCUGGUAGGGGGAUCUGGAAUUCCUGGUGUAGCGGUGGAAUGCGCAGAUAUCAGGAGGAACACCGGUGGCGAAGGCGGGAUCCUGGGCCAGUACUGACGCUGAGGAGCGAAAGCGUGGGGAGCAAACAGG
rnacentral:rRNA from 1 species